GACGAACGCUGGCGGCGUGCUUAACACAUGCAAGUCGAACGGAAAGGCCCUGCUUUUGUGGGGUGCUCGAGUGGCGAACGGGUGAGUAACACGUGAGUAACCUGCCCUUGACUUUGGGAUAACUUCAGGAAACUGGGGCUAAUACCGGAUAGGAGCUCCUGCUGCAUGGUGGGGGUUGGAAAGUUUCGGCGGUUGGGGAUGGACUCGCGGCUUAUCAGCUUGUUGGUGGGGUAGUGGCUUACCAAGGCUUUGACGGGUAGCCGGCCUGAGAGGGUGACCGGCCACAUUGGGACUGAGAUACGGCCCAGACUCCGACGGGAGGCAGCAGUGGGGAAUAUUGCACAAUGGGCGGAAGCCUGAUGCAGCAACGCCGCGUGCGGGAGGACGGCCUUCGGGUUGUAAACCGCUUUCGCCUGUGACGAAGCGUGAGUGACGGUAAUGGGUAAAGAAGCACCGGCUAACUACGU
rnacentral:rRNA from 1 species